UACGUAGGGUGCAAGCGUUGCCCGGAUUUACUGGGCGUAAAGGGCUCGUAGGCGGCCAACUAAGUCAGACGUGAAAUCCCCAGGCUCAACCUGGGAACUGCGUCUGAUACUGGAUGGCUUGAAUCCGGGAGAGGGAUGCAGAAUUCCAGGUGUAGCGGUGAAAUGCGUAGAUAUCUGGAGGAAUACCGGUGGCGAAGGCGGCAUCCUGGACCGGCAUUGACGCUGAGGAGCGAAAGCCAGGGGAGCAAACGGG
rnacentral:rRNA from 1 species